CUGGAUAAAUUUUAGACAACCUCGUGAAUUCUUUGGAUUCGCCUGAAAAAAACAUAGCAGUCUUGCGCAUGCUCAGUUUACUUACUAAAAGUUAUAGGUAGUAUGUUGCUCGGCGAAUUUCCCUCGCAUGGGAAA
rfam:Pseudomonadales bacterium GWC1_66_9 gwc1_scaffold_4429, whole genome shotgun sequence.